rnacentral:rRNA from 1 species
UGGGGAAUCUUGCGCAAUGGGCGAAAGCCUGACGCAGCAACGCCGCGUGCGGGAUGAAGGCCUUCGGGUUGUAAACCGCUUUCAGCAGGGAAGAAAUUGACGGUACCUGCAGAAGAAGCCCCGGCCAACUACGUGCCAGCAGCCGCGGUAACACGUAGGGGGCGAGCGUUGUCCGGAUUUAUUGGGCGUAAAGAGCUCGUAGGUGGUUCGUCACGUCGGAUGUGAAAAUCUGGGGCUCAACCCCAGACCUGCAUUCGAUACGAGCGAGCUAGAGUUUGGUAGGGGAGACUGGAAUUCCUGGUGUAGCGGUGAAAUGCGUAGAUAUUAGGAGGAACACCGAUGGCGAAGGCACCACUCUGGGCCGAAACUGACGCUGAGGAGCGAAAGCGUGGGUAGCAAACAGG